CUACGGGGUGCAGCAGUGGGGAAUAUUGCACAAUGGAGGAAACUCUGAUGCAGCAACGCCGCGUGGAGGAUGACACUUUUCGGAGCGUAAACUCCUUUUAUAUAGGAAGAAGAUGACGGUACUAUAUGAAUAAGCGCCGGCUAACUCCGUGCCAGCAGCCGCGGUAAUACGGAGGGCGCAAGCGUUACUCGGAAUCACUGGGCGUAAAGAGCGUGUUGGCGGAUUAAAAAGUCAGAAGUGAAAUCCUAUAGCUUAACUAUAGAACUGCUUCUGAAACUCUUAAUCUAGAAUAUGGGAGAGGUAGAUGGAAUUUCUGGUGUAGGGGUAAAAUCCGUAGAGAUCAGAAGGAAUACCGAUUGCGAAGGCGAUCUACUAGAACAUUAUUGACGCUGAGACGCGAAAGCGUGGGAAGCAAACAGGAUUAGAUACCCUCGUAGUC
rnacentral:rRNA from 1 species